CCUACGGGUGGCAGCAGUGAGGAAUAUUGGUCAAUGGCCGAGAGGCUGAACCAGCCAAGUCGCGUGAGGGAAGAAUGUCCUAUGGAUUGUAAACCUCUUUUGUCAGGGAGCAAAGUCACCCACGUGUGGGUGUUGGAGAGUACCUGAAGAAAAAGCAUCGGCUAACUCCGUGCCAGCAGCCGCGGUAAUACGGAGGAUGCGAGCGUUAUCCGGAUUUAUUGGGUUUAAAGGGAGCGUAGAUGGGUUGUUAAGUCAGUUGUGAAAGUUUGCGGCUCAACCGUAAAAUUGCAAUUGAUACUGGCAGUCUUGAGUACAGUUGAGGUAGGCGUCAUUCGUGUUGUAGCGGUUCAAUGCUUCGCUCUCACGCAGCACCCCGAUUGCGAAGGCAGCUUACUAAACUGUGACUGACAUUGAUGCUCGAAAGUGUGGGUAUCAAACAGGAUUAGCUACCCCGGUAGUC
rnacentral:rRNA from 1 species